AGGUCAAGCUACAAAGGGCGCAUGGUGAAUGCCUUGGCACUAGGAGCCGAAGAAGGACGCGAUAAGCUGCGAUAAGCCUUGGGUAGCCGCAAAUAGGCUGAGAUCCAGGGAUUUCCGAAUGAGGAAACUCACAUGGGUAACCCCAUGUAUCAUGCACUGAAUACAUAGGUGUAUGAGGGUAAACCCGGGGAACUGAAACAUCUAAGUACCCGGAGGAAGAGAAAGAAAAAUCGAUUUCCUAAGUAGCGGCGAGCGAACGGGAAAGAGCCCAAACCAGAAACUUGUUUCUGGGGUUGCGGAUAGAUCAUAAAAGAAGAGGUAUCUUAAUCGAAGAGGGCUGGAACGCCCUACCAUAGAAGGUAAUAGUCCUGUAGGUAAAAAGAGAAAACUUCGAGAUCUAAUCCAGAGUACCACGAGACACGUGAAACCUUGUGGGAAGCAGGGAGGACCACCUCCCAAGGCUAAAUACUACCUAGUGACCGAUAGUGAAGCAGUACCGUGAGGGAAAGGUGAAAAGAACCCCGGAAGGGGAGUGAAAUAGAACCUGAAACCGUGUGCCUACAA
rnacentral:rRNA from 1 species